rnacentral:rRNA from 1 species
GAUGAACGCUAGCGGCAGGCCUAACACAUGCAAGUCGAACGGUAACAUGAGUAGCAAUACUUGAUGACGAGUGGCGCACGGGUGCGUAACGCGUAUGCAACUUACCUCUAACUGGGGAAUAGCCUUCCGAAAGGAAGAAUAAUACCCCAUAAUAUUUCGAUGUGGCAUCACAUUGUUCUUAAAGCUUCGGCGGUUAGAGAUGGGCAUGCGUCUGAUUAGCUUGUUGGUGAGGUAAUGGCUCACCAAGGCAACGAUCAGUAGGGGGCCUGAGAGGGUUAUCCCCCACACUGGUACUGAGACACGGACCAGACUCCUACGGGAGGCAGCAGUGAGGAAUAUUGGUCAAUGGACGAAAGUCUGAACCAGCCAUGCCGCGUGCAGGAUGAAUGCCCUAUGGGUUGUAAACUGCUUUUAUAUAGGAAUAAACCCCCUCUCGUGAGAGGGGCUGAAGGUACUAUAAGAAUAAGGACCGGCUAACUCCGUGCCAG